ensembl:lncRNA
GAUGGACCUCAGCAAUAGGGAACAAAGUAUGACAAUUCCCUUUGCUUUCCUCCACAAUAUUCAUAUGCACCAGAAGUAUCAGCAUUUCACAUUGUGGUUAAUCUCAAUUGGUUGACAUUUUGCUUCUUUCCAAUAAUAAUAGUAUGAGGAGCCUGCUCAAGUGAAGAACAGAUAAGCCCAUCUCACAAUUACCCACCUCUUUAUACCCCACCCCUACAAAAAAAUUCCUCUAAAUGUAUGCUCUCAUUGAAAGAUUCAUCAGAAUAACUACUACUGACAUAUAGAACUAUUCAGUCAAGGGGGGGGGGGGGUAGUGAUAAAACUGAAGUGGGUGAAAACAUAUCCUUGAUUUUAACCGCAACUUGAAUAUUGCUAGAAUGUGAUACCACUUUUCAGCUGAAAACUGAAACCAUUACCCCAUAUUUUUUGCUUUUGCUUAAAAUAUGACUAGCCAUAUCUACACGUUCAAUUUACAAGGUAAUUUGCAAAGAACAGCCAUUUGGUAGAGAGUCCAUAUUGCAAUAAAUAACUCAGAUCUUUUUAACAUAUUUGUGUUCUAGCACAUUAUUUCACUUUCUCUUUAUCUUGUAGGCUUAAAACAUCUGCUGUCACUCGCAAUAUUGAAGAGGCACCUGCUAGUAAGUCAACUCCUGUACUUCUCCCCGAGACGAUGUCUAACAUAAUAAAGCAGUCUUUUGAUUCUUCUUCAGUUGAACAGGAUAGAAGAAAGGAAGAACCAUUUUCAGAAAUCAGAUCAACAGAACAGAUCUACUCACAAAAACAAUCAGAACGCCACUUAGAUUCAAUUCGACAAACUAUGUGCUUUGAAACGUGUACAUUUGGAUGUAAAGCUUGCUUUGAGUCAGCAAAUGCAUAUGCUGGAUGUAUCUUAGGUGACUCUCUAUACAACAUUGUUGGUGAACAUGUUUUAAAAUUAACCCUCAAGCAAGGUAAGUCUUAUUUACAGUAUAAUUUGGUUUGUAGCUCACAGAAAAAAUGUUAGAGCAAAACAGUGACAGGUGUGAAAUAAUAACUCCAGAAAAUCUAUUUACAACAUGGAACACAGUGUAUAAUGAAUGAUGCAAGUUUGUAAUAGUUCAUUGAUUUAUAUAAUAUUUUAGCCAGUAAUGAAGUGUUAAAAUAUGAAUCCUGGGAAAAUGGUUUGAAUCUACUUGCAGGUCCCAACUACAGGAGACACAUUGAGUUAGUGGACGUUAUAUAAGUCUUGACUUAACCAUCCUGCAUCAUCAGAUACAAUAAUAAUGAUAAUGAACUUCUAGUUGGUUAAGUCUAAUAAUGCCACCUCACUCCCACCCUGCCCCAAAACCCAACUUUUUCAGCCUGGCAGCACCUCUAUCAAAGAAUUUCUUAGGUGCUGAUGAUCAGGGAAAUGGGAAUGACAAGUGCAGUUCUCUUCGAGUUGUGGGGCAUAUAAAAACAGGCAAUGGAGGGACCCCUUGGGAACCUGACAUAACUGUUUGUCUCAAGGUGCCACAUAAAUGGGAAAGUACUACAACCAUCAUUCCCAUUAGACUCAGGUGAUCUGCAGCAACUGAGAAAUUCUCAGUGAGCCCCCCUGUGAAAAUGUAGGGUUUGGGGUCUACAGUCAGAUAAUGACUGCAAUGAGAUCUUACAUCUGGCUUACCACUUCAUAACUUCUGAAUAGAAUGCAAGCUCUGAUUUGUGUUUUUAUGUCUAAUAUGUUGUGAGGAAGCAUUAAUUCCUGUACCACAAUUCUAUAUUUUGACAAUACAGGGUUAUUUCUUAUCUCAAUCUUUUGUCACUUUACCAAUUAGGUAGUACUGUUUCCAAACAUGAAAGGGUCCUGUGUGUUGAUGUACAAAGGGCGACAAGGCUUUUGCUUUAAAAAGAGGGUGAAUGGCCUCAAAAAUAGUAUUUCCACAAUUACAAAUUGGAGCCCAAAAAAAAAAGCAUUAAAAUGCCUUUGAAAUGCAGAGUUAAAACAACAUGGUUCCUAUGCUCAAGUCAAAUAAAUAAAAUGAUUUAUUUGUUUAUGAUGGACCCUCAUGACUAGAAUUGGCUGUUUGAAGACCAUUGGUUUUGGUGAAUGUAGCCAUGACAGGACUGUAUUUGCUCUGAUUUAGAGCUUGGAAAAGUUAUUUUUGUAGUUGUAGACUAGGAAGAAAUGUUUAAGCUUUAGUCUGAUUGUAUACUCUUCCAGUCUCAUACAUACACUGAAAUAUUUUACAUAUAUUUCUAUAAAUCUAGGAAAGGACAAUUUUAAUAAUAUAAUUUGCCACUGAUUGUUAUCAUAAGUCAUCCAGAUGUUUGCCUUUUCAUGUGUGCCAAUCCUCCAUGAGGAGAUGGAGACAGUUGUUGAUUAAUCUGAAUCUAAUUGCACUGAAAGCAGUUGAAGCCAUUUGCUUGGUUGACUUGUGAAUGAAAGAGUAAAAGUUCUGGAUUGCAGUAUUAGGAUCUAGAGUUCAUUGCCUUCCUACUGUAUUGAUAACGUGGUUUCCAUGUCUAUAUUCUACAGAAUUUUGCAAUGUUUGCAAUGUCCUGGUAAAAUCUGAGCUAGUGAAAAAAUAAGCAGAAUACAAUGUGUUUUAAAGAUUUAUUGCAAUGACUUUCAAACUGGCCUUUUGUUAUGGCUUCAGGAUUAAUCACAGAGGUGUGUGUGACUAUCAUGAGUGGGUUUUAGCAACAUCUACAGGAAAAAGGAAGAAGUACAUCUCCAAGUGCACAGUAGAUGGUCUUUUUGGUUUUUUGGGGGAAAGGGCCUGUGUAUUUGGCAAAUGUAUAUAUUUCAAAGACCUUUAUUCUUCUUUAUCACCACAGUCAUGCCUAUAUGAAUCAAUAGAACAAACAGGUAGACCUCCCAGUAUUAAGUGCCCAAUGCCUAUAUUUGAGAAACCAUAGUUUCUAGCAUAUAUUAUAAGGAUCUUAUGCAAUAGCACUUGUAUUAUUUAUAUAAUUUUAGAUGAUACAAGAGCACCGAUUGAGAAGUUACAAUUCACAAUUCAAGGAGGUGCUCAAGCUGCUGAAGCAAAGGUGCGUCUGCAGAUGAGAAAAGUAAGAACUGGGGUAUUUCUCUAUAAUGUGCUUUGAUGGUUAUGCGAUUGCAAGAUCCAAAUCUUGAAUGGUCUACUACUUGUUCUUGUUUUAGGACAUUUGCUACAUUCAAGACUUUAGGAAAAUGUUGUUACAUACCCUGUUUCGCCAAAAUAAGACAGGAUCUUAUAUUAAUUUUUGCUCCAAAAAUGUGCUAGGGCUUGUUUUCAGGGACAGUAUUAUUUUUCCAAAUUGAAUUUUUAAAUGGACUAUAUCUAGGGCUUAUUUUUGAAAUAGGGCUUAUAUUUCAAGCAUCCUCAGAAAUGCUGAAAAAUUAUAAUAGGUCUUAUUUUCAGCAUAGGUCUUAUUUUGGGGAAAACAGGAUACAUGUUACAAAAAGCUAGUCUUGACUGUGUUGCCUUGAGCAAUGUUUUUCCUAACUAGACAUGGUAGGCAUAUUAAUUUGAAAAUAAAGAUG